GACGAACGCUGGCGGCGUGCUUAACACGUGCAAGUCGAACGGAAAGGCCCUGCUUUUGUGGGGUGCUCGAGUGGCGAACGGGUGAGUAACACGUGAGUAACCUGCCCUUGACUUUGGGAUAACUUCAGGAAACUGGGGCUAAUACCGGAUAGGAGCUCCUGCUGCAUGGUGGGGGUUGGAAAGUUUCGGCGGUUGGGGAUGGACUCGCGGCUUAUCAGCUUGUUGGUGGGGUAGUGGCUUACCAAGGCUUUGACGGGUAGCCGGCCUGAGAGGGUGACCGGCCACAUUGGGACUGAGAUACGGCCCAGACUCCUACGGGAGGCAGCAGUGGGGAAUAUUGCACAAUGGGCGGAAGCCUGAUGCAGCAACGCCGCGUGCGGGAUGACGGCCUUCGGGUUGUAAACCGCUUUCGCCUGUGACGAAGCGUGAGUGACGGUAAUGGGUAAAGAAGCACCGGCUAACUACGUGCCAGCCGCCGCAGUAA
rnacentral:rRNA from 1 species